GACGAACGCUGGCGGCGUGCUUAACACAUGCAAGUCGAACGGUGAACCUCUUCGGAGGGGAUCAGUGGCGAACGGGUGAGUAACACGUGGGCAACCUGCCCCCGGCUCUGGGAUAACUCCAAGAAAUUGGGGCUAAUACCGGAUGUUCACCGCUUCCCGCAUGGGUGGUGGUGGAAAGGGUUUCCGGCUGGGGAUGGGCCCGCGGCCUAUCAGCUUGUUGGUGGGGUAGUGGCCUACCAAGGCGACGACGGGUAGCCGGCCUGAGGGGGUGACCGGCCACACUGGGACUGAGAGACGGCCCAGACUCCUACGGGAGGCAGCAGGGGGGAAGAUUGCGCAAGGGGCGGAAGCCUGACGCAGCGACGCCGCGUGGGGGAUGACGGCCUUCGGGUUGUAAACCUCUUUCAGCAGGGACGAAGCGCAAGUGACGGUACCUGCAGAAGAAGCACCGGCCAACUACGUG
rnacentral:rRNA from 1 species